GACGAACGCUGGCGGCGUGCUUAACACAUGCAAGUCGAGGGUAGCAAUACACUGGCGCAAGGGUGCGUAACGCGUAGAUUAUCUGCCCCAUACACUAACAUAACGCUUGGAAACGGGUGCUAAUAUUAGAUGAGGUGCUUCGGCAUCAAAGUUUCGACGGUAUGGGAUGAGUCUGCGUCUGAUUAGCUAGUUGGUAGUGUAAUGGACUACCAAGGCGACGAUCAGUAGCUGGUCUGAGAGGACGAUCAGCCACACUGGAACUGAGACACGGUCCAGACUCCUACGGGAGGCAGCAGUGAGGAAUUUUGCGCAAUGGACGAAAGUCUGACGCAGCGACGCCGCGUGUGGGAUGAAGGGGCUACGCCCUGUAAACCACUGUUAGAUGUGAAAAAAAGAUAGCUUUGCUGUCCGGGAUUGUAACAUCAAAGAAAGGACCGGCUAACUACGUGCCAGCAGCCGCGGUAAUACGUAGGGUCCGAGCGUUGUCCGGAAUUACUGGGUAUAAAGGGUGCGUAGGCGGGCUUUUACGUCAAGGGUUAAAGACUUCAGCUCAACUGAGGGAAUGCCUUUGAAACGGGAAGUCUUGAAUGUAAGAGAGGUAGGUAGAAUUCCUGGUGUAGCGGUGAAAUGCGUAGAUAUCAGGAGGAAUACCAGUGGCGAAGGCGGCCUACUGGCUUAUUAUUGACGCUGAGGCACGAAAGCGUGGGUAGCGAACAGGAUUAGAUACCCUGGUAGUCCACGCCCUAAACGAUGUAUGCUUGGUGUUAGAGUUUACUCUAGUGCCGUAGGAAAUCCGUUAAGCAUACCACCUGGGGAGUACGAUCGCAAGGUUGA
rnacentral:rRNA from 1 species